UUGUAUUUUAUUAGAGAUGUGGUCUCACUGAGUUGCUUAGCACCUUGCAUUUAUUUCUGAGGCUGGCUUUGAACUUGUGAUCCUCCUUUCUCAGUCUCCCCAGCCUCUGGGAUUGCAAGUAUGCACCACCACACCCUGCUGAAGUAUCAUUUUUGUUUGGUUUGGUACUGGGGAUUGAAUUUCUCUAUCCCCCAACCCCCAAAUUUGUGAUUACAACCAGGGCAAGUUUUAUAGUUAUUUUAAUUAUUGUGCUCAAAAUCUGAAGCUUUUCCAUAGGAAUGAGAAUUUAGAGUUCAAGUUCCAAACUUAAAUCAAGUAUUUGCUCUACAGAAAUCCUUGACAGUGAUGCCUCUUCGUGCUUAAAGUCUCUUAAGGAAAGUAUAACUUGUAGAAGACAGUAAUUAUUAGAUGGACUGUAAUUUUAUUUUAGGUAAUUAUUUAGAUAUCUGAAAAACAAGCCGUAGAUUUGAAUAAAUGCAACCUCAUACUCCUUAAUCUUGAGGGAAUAUUAGAACAAUGUCUAUUAUUGAGGUAUUAUUAGAACAAUGGAAGUGUUUUAUAAACUAUAAAGUAUUAUAUAAAUGAUAUCAUGGGGAAGGCUAGAAUUUCUUUUUUUGACACUGUGAGACUAAAAUUCUGAAAUAAAGGUCUGAAAAAGGCACUGGACAGUGACAUGAUCUUGCAGGAUGUCUGAGUACUUUGAGGGUGAAUCUGGUAUUCACUUUAAUGCUUUAUGGCAAGUUAAACUUCCUGAGUGAAAGGAGACUAUUUUUGGUAUUGGGGAUUGAAUCCAGGGGUGCUUAACCACUGUGCUACAUUCUGUAGCCCCUUUCAUUUUUUAUUUUGAGACAGGGUCUUGCCAAGUUGCUUAGGGCUUCACUAAGUUGAUGAGGCUGCCUUUGAACUUGAAUUCUUCCUGCCUCAGCUCCCCAAACUGCUACCACUACCUUAUUUUUACUUUUUAAAUUCUUUUUAUGUUUUUGUAGUUGUAGAUGGGCAGAAUGCCUUUAUUUUAUUUAUUUUUAUGUGGUACUAAGGAUCAAACCCUGUGCCUCACACAUGCUAGGCAAGCACUCUACCACUGAGCUACAUCCCCAGCCCUUAUUUUUACUUUUAAAAACACAUUUAUUGAAUAAACUUUGAUCUUAUCUCUUCUCCAUUUUCCCUAAAGGCUGUUACUACUGUUUCCUUUGUAGACUCUUCCUAUUUCUGUCAUGAUAAUUAUUUUCAAAGAUAGUUAUUCCUUCCCUAUAAAAAAAUUCCCACAAUUUAUCUCAUAAAUACUUGAAUGGCCAAAAUUUAAUCUAACGGGAAUAUGUAAUGGUUUUUCAACACAGUGGUAGACAAAACAGCUUAGUCUGAAAAAGUGAGUGCAAGAAUAGAUGUCUCCAAUGUACUAUUUAAUAAUCACAUUGAUCUACUACCCCCAUUUUAUCUAUUUUCAGUAACUACAUUUAUAUAUAUAAUUUUUUUAUCUUUUAACUAUUUUACAUGGAUAUAUAAUUAUUUUUGUCUUUGAACUUU
rnacentral:lncRNA from 1 species